GAGUUUGAUCGUGGCUCAGAUUGAACGCUGGCGGCAUGCCUUACACAUGCAAGUCGAACGGCAGCACGGGAGCUUGCUCCUGGUGGCGAGUGGCGAACGGGUGAGUAAUGCAUCGGAACGUAUCCUGGAGUGGGGGAUAACGUAGCGAAAGUUACGCUAAUACCGCAUAUUCUGUGAGCAGGAAAGCGGGGGACCUUCGGGCCUCGCGCUCUUGGAGCGGCCGAUGUCGGAUUAGCUAGUUGGUGAGGUAAAGGCUCACCAAGGCGACGAUCCGUAGCAGGUCUGAGAGGAUGAUCUGCCACACUGGAACUGAGACACGGUCCAGACUCCUACGGGAGGCAGCAGUGGGAAUUUGGACAAUGGGGGCAACCCUGAUCCAGCCAUGCCGCGUGAGUGAAGAAGGCC
rnacentral:rRNA from 1 species